GUGCCGCAAUUGAUACCAUUGAUCACAAUAUUCUUAGAAAUUGCCUUAGUCAAUGGGUGGGCCUCUCUGGCAGGGUCUUAAAUUGGUUUGAAUCCUACCUGGCAGGGAGAAAAUUCUUUGUUAGUUGUGGUAAUUACAACUCAAAGACCCCUGAUAUUCUAUAUGGUGUUCCACAAGCCUCUAUCCUGGGUCCGCUGCUCUUCUCAAUCUACAUGCUUCCGUUAGGUCAGAUUAUCUCAGGGCACAACGUGAGCUACCACAGCUAUGCUGAUGACACACAGCUGUAUUUAUCAAUUGCACCUGAUGACCCCGAUUCUCUCGAUUCACUAACACAAUGUCUGACUUGUAUCUCAGAAUGGAUGAAUAGUAACUUUCUCAAGUUAAAUAAAGAGAAAACUGAAAUCUUA